GAUGAACGCUGGCGGCGUGCCUAAUACAUGCAAGUCGAGCGAAUAGAUGAGGAGCUUGCUCCUCUGACGUUAGCGGCGGACGGGUGAGUAACACGUGGAUAACCUACCUAUAAGACUGGGAUAACUUCGGGAAACCGGAGCUAAUACCGGAUAAUAUAUUGAACCGCAUGGUUCAAUAGUGAAAGACGGUUUUGCUGUCACUUAUAGAUGGAUCCGCGCCGCAUUAGCUAGUUGGUAAGGUAACGGCUUACCAAGGCAACGAUGCGUAGCCGACCUGAGAGGGUGAUCGGCCACACUGGAACUGAGACACGGUCCAGACUCCUACGGGAGGCAGCAGUAGGGAAUCUUCCGCAAAGGGCGAAAGCCUGACGGAGCAACGCCGCGUGAGUGAUGAAGGUCUUCGGAUCGUAAAACUCUGUUAUUAGGGAAGAACAAAUGUGUAAGUAACUAUGCACGUCUUGACGGUACCUAAUCAGAAAGCCACGGCUAACUACGUG
rnacentral:rRNA from 1 species